rnacentral:rRNA from 1 species
GGAUGACCUGUGGGUAGGGGUGAAAGGCCAAUCAAACUCGGAAAUAGCUCGUACUCCCCGAAAUGCAUUUAGGUGCAGCGUUUAACUAGUUUUAUAGAGGUAGAGCUACUGAUUGGAUGCGGGGGCUUCACCGCCUACCAAUUCCUGACAAACUCCGAAUGCUAUAAAAUGUUACUCAGCAGUGAGGGCAUGGGUGCUAAGGUCCAUGUCCGAGAGGGAAAGAACCCAGACCAUCAGCUAAGGUCCCAAAGUGUAUGCUAAGUUGAAUAAACGAGGUUUGACUGCCCAGACAGCUAGGAUGUUGGCUUGGAAGCAGCCAUUCAUUUAAAGAGUGCGUAACAGCUCACUAGUCGAGCGGUCAAGCAUGGAUAAUAAUCGGGCAUAAGUAUACCACCGAAGCUAUGGCUUUGUAAUUUAUUACAAGGGGUAGGGGAGCAUUCUAUGGGCGUUGAAGGAGAACUGCGAGGUUUUCUGGAGCGUAUAGAAAAGAAAAUGUAGGCAUAAGUAACGACAAUGCGGGCGAGAAACCCGCACACCGAAAGACUAAGGUUUCCUCAGCUAUGCUAAUCAGCUGAGGGUUAGUCGGGACCUAACGCGAACCCGAAAGGGGUAGUGGAUGGACAACCAGUUAAUAUUCUGGUACCUGCCGGCGCUAAACGUGACGGAGGGGAGUAGUUAUUGCGUACUGACGGAAUAGUACGUUGAAGCAACCGUUAAGGUUGUGAUAGUACACCAAGGCUUCGGCUGCGGUGAUAAUAUAGCGAAUCCACUUCCAAGAAAAGCAAGCCAGGCAGCCCGUACCGUAAACCGACACAGGUAGUUGGGAUGAGAAUUCUAAGGUGCUCGAGAGAUUCAUGGCUAAGGAACUAGGCAAAAUAGACCCGUAACUUCGGGAGAAGGGUCGCCCCCUUAUGGGGGGCCGCAGUGAAGAGGUCCAGGCGACUGUUUAUCAAAAACACAGGGCUCUGCAAAAUCGAAAGAUGACGUAUAGGGCCUGACACCUGCCCGGUGCUGGAAGGUUAAGAGGAGAUGUUAUUUUUCGGAAGAAGCAUUGAAUUGAAGCCCCAGUAAACGGCGGCCGUAACUAUAACGGUCCUAAGGUAGCGAAAUUCCUUGUCGGGUAAGUUCCGACCUGCACGAAUGGUGCAACGAUCUGGACACUGUCUCGGCCAUGAGCUCGGUGAAAUUGUAGUAACGGUGAAGAUGCCGUUUACCCGCAGUGGGACGAAAAGACCCCGUGCACCUUUACUAUAGCUUCGUAUUGACCCUGGAUAAGUAAUGUGUAGGAUAGCUAGGAGACUUUGAAGCGGCGUCGCCAGGCGUUGUGGAGUCAUUGUUGAAAUACUAGCCUUUGCUUAUUUGGGGCCUAACUCUCUUAAGAGAGAACAGUGCGUGGUGGGUAGUUUGACUGGGGUGGUCGCCUCCAAAAGAGUAACGGAGGCUUCUAAAGGUACCCUCAGCACGCUUGGUAACCGUGCGUAGAGUGCAAUGGCAUAAGGGUGCUUGACUGAGAGACCUACAAGUCGAUCAGGUACGAAAGUAGAGCAUAGUGAUCCGGUGGUUCCGCAUGGAAGGGCCAUCGCUCAAAGGAUAAAAGGUACUCCGGGGAUAACAGGCU